GGGCCCGUUGCCCAGCAGGAUAGGGCGCAGGCCUCCUAAGCCUGAGGUCGUGGGUUCGAAUCCCACCGGGCCCG
rnacentral:tRNA from 1 species